rnacentral:rRNA from 1 species
AACAGGAUUAGAUACCCUGGUAGUCCACGCCGUAAACGAUGUCGACUUGGAGGUUGUGCCCUUGAGGCGUGGCUUCCGGAGCUAACGCGUUAAGUCGACCGCCUGGGGAGUACGGCCGCAAGGUUAAAACUCAAAUGAAUUGACGGGGGCCCGCACAAGCGGUGGAGCAUGUGGUUUAAUUCGAUGCAACGCGAAGAACCUUACCUACUCUUGACAUCCAGAGAACUUAGCAGAGAUGCUUCGGUGCCUUCGGGAACUCUGAGACAGGUGCUGCAUGGCUGUCGUCAGCUCGUGUUGUGAAAUGUUGGGUUAAGUCCCGCAGCGAGCGCAACCCUUAUCCUUUGUUGCCAGCGGUUAGGCCGGGAACUCAAAGGAGACUGCCAGUGAUAAACUGGAGGAAGGUGGGGACGACGUCAAGUCAUCAUGGCCCUUACGAGUAGGGCUACACACGUGCCACAAUGGCACAUACAAAGAGAAGCGACCUCGCGAGAGCAAGCGGACCUCAUAAAGUAUGUCGUAGUCCGGAUUGGAGUCUGCAACUCGACUCCAUGAAGUCGGAAUCGCUAGUAAUCGUGGAUCAGAAUGCCACGGUGAAUACGUUCCCGGGCCUUGUACACACCGCCCGUCACACCAUGGGAGUGGGUUGCAAAAGAAGUAGGUAGCUUAACCUUCGGGAGGGCGCUUACCACUUUGUGAUUCAUGACUGGGGUGAAGUCGUAACAAGGUAACC